CUCGGCCCCACCCACCACCAGAGAGAUGAUGCUGAGGGUGAUGAUGCUGAUGUGACGGCGCGCUCAGCCAAUCGUCGGGCGGAGGGGAAGCGGAAGGGGGCGUCGCCGGAGCCCGGAGCUGGUCGAUGCUGGGAGGACUGAGAGGAAGGAGAAGAGGAAGAGAGGGAGGAUGAGGAGAAUGGGUGAGGCCCGUCCGACCCGAGGAGCGCCGACGCUGGCUUAAGAAAGGAGGACAAGAAGAGGAGGAGGAGGAGGAGGAGGAGGAAGAAGGAGGGGGGAGGAGGAGGAGGGAGCUGUUGCUUGUCGGAGGGGUCAACCUGAGCCGUCAUGGACAAAUAUCGACCGAAGAGACCCACCAGCCUGGCUCUGUUCCCACAGCUGCCCCAAGCUGGCACACAGGACUCUAUCAACAACAACUCCUUGGGGAAGAAGGACAGCUGGAAGGAUUCCAGAUCUUCCUCCCCGCUCAUCACAGGAGAUCUAACACCUCCGGAUGUCAGGCCGAAAGCAGAGGACAAAGUCCGGCAUGGUGCUCAGCGCCGGCCGGCACCAAAACCGCCCUCUGGCGCUGGAUCCAACGUCAGAUCCAGCGCUCAGGCCACCGCCCCCUCGACAGACGCACGAGCUCGGACGCGAGAGCGGCCGGCCCCGGGGCCACCACAGACCUCCAACACGCCGAGGAGUCAGCGGAGAGCAGCAGCAGGAGGAGCAGGAAGAGGAGCCGCCACGAUGAGAGAGAAAAACUUGGGGGAACUCAAAGGGAAGGAGGGAUCGACGGACAGAAGAGGGGGUCGACUGUGUGAGGAGAGCAGGAACAAGGACAAGGACCGCAGUCAGAAGCAGAGGGAGGCCAACACGCUGAAGGGCAGGGGGACUGAUGGCAGAGGAAGAGGAGCCUCCAAAGGGAGCAGCAAAGGAGGCGUCAAGCCGAACAACAAACUGACCAAUAAGGAGGUGUACCUGCCGUCCAUGGUGGUCCCACGCACACCUGUGACCCAGAGAAAGCAGGAGAAGAAGCAGGACCAAGGCCAAAACCAUGACAGGACCCAGGACCCCCCUGUGCUGUCUCGGUCCAGCAGUGAGGGGGGGUCCAACAGGAUGUCCCUGAGCUCAGACACAGAGGGUCCCCCUCCUGGACCGCCGCAGCCCCCUCUGUCCAACAUCACCAACCCGGACAUCAGCGAGGAGGACGGAGAAGGGGAUCCGACCCCGUGCCUGCAGAACGGUCCGACCCGCAGCUUUGCGGCAGACGACGGAACCACGCCGAGAUGCGAGGCGGAGGGAGGCGGCGCCGCGAAGCAGGCCGAGGUCCGGACGGAGGCCGCGGCCGGGCUCUGCUACGACUCCGUCAAGUACACGCUGGUGGUGGACGAGUGCGAUCAGCUGGAGCUCGUCAGCCUGAGGGACUGCACGCGCAAGAACGAAGACAGCGAUGCUGAGACUGUGUACCAGUCAGCCAAUGAGGAGGAAGACCCAGACUAUGAGGUGGAGAGGAAGAGGAGCGAGGAAGCAAGGAAACAAGGUACGAGUCUGACAAAAGUGAUGAGACUUUUGCUUUUGAAUGAAGAAAUAUUAGUGAAGUUGGUUGGAGAUUGGAUAUUCAAAAGAUAAAAGAUAACACUUUA
ensembl:lncRNA